CGGGCGGUGUGCGAGGAGGGGCUCGCGGCGUAUCAGCUAGAUGGUGGGGUAAAGGCCUACCAAGGCGACGAUCGGUAGCUGGUCUGAGAGGAUGAUCAGCCACACUGGGACUGAGACACGGCCCAGACUCCUACGGGAGGCAGCAGUGGGGAAUAUUGGACAAUGGGCGCAAGCCUGAUCCAGCAAUGCCGCGUGGGUGAAGAAGGCCUGCGGGUUGUAAA
rnacentral:rRNA from 1 species